rnacentral:rRNA from 1 species
ACCUACGGGGGGCAGCAGUGAGGAAUAUUGGUCAAUGGGCGGGAGCCUGAACCAGCCAAGCCGCGUGAGGGAAGAAGGUACAGCGUAUCGUAAACCUCUUUUGUCAGGGAACAAAGGCGGGGACUAGUCCCCGGAUGAGGGUACCUGAAGAAAAAGCAUCGGCUAACUCCGUGCCAGCAGCCGCGGUAAUACGGAGGAUGCGAGCGUUAUCCGGAUUUAUUGGGUUUAAAGGGUGCGCAGGCGGUCUGUUAAGUCAGCGGUCAAAGCCCGGGGCUCAACCCCGGCCCGCCGUUGAAACUGGCAGG